AACGUAGGAGCCAAGCGUUAUCCGAAUUCACUGGGCGUAAAGCGCGUGCAGGCGGCUGGGUAAGUUGGAUGUGAAAUCUCCUGGCUCAACUGGGAGAGGCCGUUCAAUACUACCUGGCUUGAGGGCGACAGAGGCAGGCGGAAUUCCGGGUGUAGCGGUGGAAUGCGUAGAGAUCCGGAAGAACACCGGUGGCGAAGGCGGCCUGCUGGGAUCUUGCUGACGCUGAGGCGCGACAGCGUGGGGAGCAAACAGG
rnacentral:rRNA from 1 species